GUUAUUGUUAUUAUAGGUCCAGUACAAUGAGUUAACAUGUCUACCUAAUAAUGUGAUCAAACUGGAUAAACUAUCUAAAAUAUUUGCAAGUCUCUCCUAUAUGUUAGGAAGGUUUGAGUCUCUUCAUUAUCUUCUCUUUGAUGUUCUCCUCUUAAUUAAAUGAAUGAGACGUGACAUCCUCCGGAAAGGAAGAGUAUUGGUCCUCUAGUAUCUCUUGUAUUGAAGAACCAGGAGACCACAUGUGACGGACAACCUCUCCCUCGUCCCUCAAGAUCCCCUCGUGACCAUACAAGUAAGGAUGAGGAGUGGGUGGAGUGAGGGGAGGUGUUGUGAGAAAGGAAGUUGUGAUGAUGAAAGCUAUGCUACCUCCUGAGUAAGAAUAUUAAUGUGUCUUUUAAUAAAUACUGUAUAGUUUAAAUUUAUGUGUGUGACCUAAUAUUUUUGUAAACAGCCAAAGCCACUUUCAUUUUUAACGUGUUUACCCUGUAACCAUGUGGAAGAAUAAAAAUUAUAGUA